rnacentral:rRNA from 1 species
AGCGAACGUUAGCGGCGUGCUUAACACAUGCAAGUCACGGGGGCCCGCAAGGGCAACCGGCGAACGGGUGCGUAACACGUGAACAACCUGCCCUCGUGUGGGGGAGUAGCCAUGCUAACGCGUGGGUAAUACCGCAUACGUUCCCUUGGAGGAGUCUCUGGGGGAGGAAAGCUCCGGCGCACGGGGAGGGGUUCGCGGCCUAUCAGCUAGUUGGCGGGGUAAUGGCCCACCAAGGCGACGACGGGUANCUGGCUGAGAGGAUGGCCAGCCACAUUGGGACUGAGAGACGGCCCAGACUCCUACGGGAGGCAGCAGGUGGGGAAUCUUGCGCAAUGGCCGAAAGGCUGACGCAGCGACGCCGCGUGUGGGAUGAAGCA